rnacentral:lncRNA from 1 species
CUUCCUCCUCCAGAAUCUGAUCAUUGGACCCCAACAGUCAUCUUCAUUCUCUAUAGGAAAUAGGCUUUGGCAGCAGCCACAUCAGCUUCAGCACUGAAUUGGGAGAGCUUGAAGAGCCCACAGGCCCUUCUCCUUGAGUAUGAAGGUCUCUUAUCUGAGGACUGGCUGGGUCUUUCCUUAUUCUUCUUCGUUAGGAAUGGGUCCAAUAGUUUCUUAUUUUCUUAAAGCUGAAAUUGGGACAGAAAUUGGGAGCCAUGGGACCUGACCCUAGGAGAGUAGAAGUCAUGAUUUAUUGGACCUCUAGAUGGACACUGAGUGGUCUAGCUACUCGGUAAGUGUGACAUUUCCAGGGUCUCUGAUGCUACAGGAAGAAGUUUUGAAGCCUUUUUUACACAACUGCUGGAACUUGGGGUUUGGAUGGGACAGAAGCUUUUGGAUGUGAACUUAUAGACCUGGCCCCAGGGUCUGCUUGGGCAGUAUCCAGAGGAGAGAAAUGUUACCUGCUAAAGGCACUCUCCUCUCACUAGACCUGGGAAAUACCUUUCCAGAUGAGAAUGGCUUUCUUCAGGGUCUGGAUCAGUAAGUCUAUCUUUGCCAUCUUUUGGAGUUGGUCCACAAGCUCUUCUCAGAGCCAGCCCUAAGGGAAGAGGCUUAGACCAAAGCUCAGUAGGUUUAUUAUCUAUGCUUAAGACUGGCUUGGGACUUGGAAGAGAGGCAGGCAAGGGAUUGUUCCAACUACUUCUUCUGAUAGUCCUCCUGGACUCCUUGGAGCUCAGUGACCAGCCCACAGAAGCAUGCAGCAGACAGCUUGGGAGCUGGGGAGACAGCUAAGAAUGGGGAAGACUUGUCCAUGUUUGUAGGCAACAGGGAAAUUUCACCAUACAGGAAGAAAUUGCAGAUUAAUGAGAGUGAGAAUAACAGAUGGAGCAAUAUUCUGGAUAAUGAAACUAAGGCACCCAGGAUUAAGUGACUUGCCCAGAGUCACACAGCUAGUGAGAAGACUGGAUUUGAAUUCAGGAAGACAAUUUUUUCUUAGUUCUGGCACUCUCCACUGUGCUGCCUAACUAGCACUCACUAAAAGUCUUCAAAGCAAAGGUUGGAUG